rnacentral:ncRNA from 1 species
UCUCCGAAAUGGCAAACCGGCUGAAAGACCGGGACGCAAAGUGACGGACCUAAAGCAUCUGAAAAAGAUGCCAAGGUGGCCGCACCGCCGAA